rnacentral:rRNA from 1 species
AUGCCAAAUCUAUUCGCUGCAGUCAAAAGAAGAGCGCGAAAGAGAAUAGUGAGACAAGCCAUAACCGAAGGUUGGUGGCUAGAUGUGUCGCCUAACAUGAGUCCCCAAGCCCUCACCGAGUUCCUGCAGCUUGUGGACAGAACCCAACAUAUCCAGCUUGUGGAUGGCAUGGAAGAUAGAUUGAUCUGGGCUUGGGAACCAAAUGGGUCCUUCUCGGCGAGAUCGGCCUACCGGGCGUUCUUUGCUGGGAGAGUGGAGGCCGUUGGGGCUGUGCAAAUCUGGCGGUCAAGAGCGCCGGUGACCUGCAAAAUCUUCGCAUGGCUGGCGGCUCGGGAGAGGUCUUGGACGGCUGACAGGCUUGCGCGUCGGCACCUACCGCAUCCUCCGGCUUGCCCCUUCUGUGAUCAGGAGCCGGAGACAAUCAACCACAUCCUUCUCGGCUGCGUCUUUGCUAGACAAGUGUGGUUCUCCAUUCUUGACCACAUAACAACAUACGUUGUUCCCUUUGUCAUCGGUAUGUUACUUGCCCGAGGUUCGAUCGUCGGUAUCUCAAUACCUAGUUCAAUCUCGUUACCGGCAAGUCUCUUUACUCGUUCCGUAAUACAUCAUCCCACAACUAACUCAUUAGUUACAAUGCUUGCAAGGCUUAUAGUGAUGUGUAUUACCGAGUGGGCCCAGAGAAACUUCUCCAACAAUCGGAGUGACAAAUCCUAA